rnacentral:rRNA from 1 species
GACGAACCGUGCGAACGUUGUUCGGAUUCACUGGGCUUAAAGGGCGCGUAGGCGGGUUCUCAAGUCCGGGGUGAAAUCCUCUCGCUCAACGAGAGAACUGCCUCGGAUACUGGGAACCUCGAGGGAGGUAGGGGCAUGUGGAACUUCCGGUGGAGCGGUGAAAUGCGUAGAUAUCGGAAGGAACGCCGGUGGCGAAAGCGACGUGCUGGACCUUUUCUGACGCUGAGGCGCGAAAGCCAGGGGAG